GAUGAACGCUGGCGGCGUGCCUAAUACAUGCAAGUCGAGCGAACAGACGAGGAGCUUGCUCCUCUGACGUUAGCGGCGGACGGGUGAGUAACACGUGGAUAACCUACCUAUAAGACUGGGAUAACUUCGGGAAACCGGAGCUAUACCGGAUAAUAUAUUGAACCGCAUGGUUCAAUAGUGAAAGACGGUUUUGCUGUCACUUAUAGAUGGAUCCGCACCGCAUUAGCUAGUUGGUAAGGUAACGGCUUACCAAGGCAACGAUGCGUAGCCGACCUGAGAGGGUGAUCGGCCACACUGGAACUGAGACACGGUCCAGACUCCUACGGGAGGCAGCAGUAGGGAAUCUUCCGCAAUGGGCGAAAGCCUGACGGAGCAACGCCGCGUGAGUGAUGAAGGUCUUCGGAUCGUAAAACUCUGUUAUUAGGGAAGAACAAAUGUGUAAGUAACUAUGCACGUCUUGACGGUACCUAAUCAGAAAGCCACGGCUAACUACGUG
rnacentral:rRNA from 1 species